rnacentral:lncRNA from 1 species
GUGAGCCUUCAUGUGUUUGCUGGGAACUGAACUCAGGACCUCUGCUUGCUCCAGGCCCACUUGCUCUGGCCCAAAGAUUUAUUUAUUAUUAUAUGUAAGUACACUGUAGCUGUCUUCAGACACACCAGAAGAGGGCAUCAGAUUUCAUUACAGAUGGUUGUGAGCCACCAUGUGGUUGGUGGGAUUUGAACUCAGUGCUCUUAACUGCUGGGCCAUCUCUCCAGCCCGAGUACAGAUCUUAAUAAUCCCUGAUCUCUGUAUACCCAACUGCUUGCUUAACUCUUAGUUUGUUUCAUUUAUAUUAGAGACUUAAUAUCAACAAAACAAAAUCCAUAAUAAUGCCUGUCUCCUCUCUCGGCCUUCCAGAUUUCAGCCAAUGAAAUUGCUUUCCACGUGGCUGGUCAACUGAACCUCCUGUGAGCUAGUCUUGACUGCUUUGUCUUCACCCUGAUCAAGGCUAUCAACAGAUUCCUGUUAGCCCUGCCCCUGCCUCCCCUCCCACCGCCUCUGGCUGUGUUUGAAGCCAUCAUUUUACGCCUUCUACCACAAGCUUGUUCCUCAGCAUCAUCUUCUUUUCCCUCCACCACUGAAGGAGACUGCCAGAUGGUCUCACCUCUGUCAACUGUCCAGAUGCACAAAGAAGCCCUUCAUUUAAAAAGUAGGGCUCUACAAAGGAGACCUGUCAUGGGUGAGAGGAGGAUGAUGGUAGCCCAGCAUGGGAGGUGGGAGAAAUCCUGUGUGGUGGUAAGGUGGUCUAUAAAAGAAAGGAUGGUGUUAGAAUGGACGGGACAAGCUUGCAUGGCACCAUUCAGGAGGAGAGAGGCCCUUUCCCCAGGGUACCCUCAGCUGAGCAGGCAUGCGCCAACAGCAGCUUCCCUCCAUGGUCUAGCAGCUUGGCUCCGCGUACAAACGCUCAUCCAGGUAUCUAACUCCUACCUGUGUUUGUUUGUUUUGUUUUGUUUUUUGAGAUAUGGUUUCUCUGUCUCUCUCUGUCUCUCUCUGAGCCAGGUUUAUAUCUGGCUGUCCUGGAAUUCAUUCUGUAGACCACACUGGUCUCGGACUCAGAGAUCUGCCUGUCUCUGCUUCCUGAGUGCUAGGGUUAAAGGUAUGUGCCCAGCUCUAGGUGUCUUUUUUAAUUUCAUGACCCAU